rnacentral:rRNA from 1 species
CGAGCGAGCUUGCCUAGAUGAAUUUGGUGCUUGCACCAGAUGAAACUAGAUACAAGCGAGCGGCGGACGGGUGAGUAACACGUGGGUAACCUGCCCAAGAGACUGGGAUAACACCUGGAAACAGAUGCUAAUACCGGAUAACAACACUAGACGCAUGUCUAGAGUUUAAAAGAUGGUUCUGCUAUCACUCUUGGAUGGACCUGCGGUGCAUUAGCUAGUUGGUAAGGUAACGGCUUACCAAGGCAAUGAUGCAUAGCCGAGUUGAGAGACUGAUCGGCCACAUUGGGACUGAGACACGGCCCAAACUCCUACGGGAGGCAGCAGUAGGGAAUCUUCCACAAUGGACGCAAGUCUGAUGGAGCAACGCCGCGUGAGUGAAGAAGGGUUUCGGCUCGUAAAGCUCUGUUGGUAGUGAAGAAAGAUAGAGGUAGUAACUGGCCUUUAUUUGACGGUAAUUACUUAGAAAGUCACGGCUAACUACGUGCCAGCAGCCGCGGUAAUACGUAGGUGGCAAGCGUUGUCCGGAUUUAUUGGGCGUAAAGCGAGUGCAGGCGGUUCAAUAAGUCUGAUGUGAAAGCCUUCGGCUCAACCGGAGAAUUGCAUCAGAAACUGUUGAACUUGAGUGCAGAAGAGGAGAGUGGAACUCCAUGUGUAGCGGUGGAAUGCGUAGAUAUAUGGAAGAACACCAGUGGCGAAGGCGGCUCUCUGGUCUGCAACUGACGCUGAAGCUCGAAAGCAUGGGUAGCGAACAGGAUUAGAUACCCUGGUAGUCCAUGCCGUANACGAUGAGUGCUAAGUGUUGGGAGGUUUCCGCCUCUCAG